rnacentral:pre_miRNA from 1 species
AAGGUACUCCCUCCAUCCUAAAAUUCUUGUCUUAGAUUUGUCUAGAUACAGAUGUAUCAAGUCACAUUUUAGUAUUAGAUACAUCUGUAUCUAGACAAAUCUAAGACAAGAAAUUUGGGACAGAGGGACUAGUUG